AGUGAACGCUGGCGGUAGGCCUAACACAUGCAAGUCGAACGGCAGCACAGUAAGAGCUUGCUCUUACGGGUGGCGAGUGGCGGACGGGUGAGGAAUACAUCGGAAUCUACUUUUUCGUGGGGGAUAACGUAGGGAAACUUACGCUAAUACCGCAUACGACCUACGGGUGAAAGCAGGGGAUCUUCGGACCUUGCGCGAUUGAAUGAGCCGAUGUCGGAUUAGCUAGUUGGCGGGGUAAAGGCCCACCAAGGCGACGAUCCGUAGCUGGUCUGAGAGGAUGAUCAGCCACACUGGAACUGAGACACGGUCCAGACUCCUACGGGAGGCAGCAGUGGGGAAUAUUGGACAAUGGGCGCAAGCCUGAUCCAGCCAUACCGCGUGAGUGAAGAAGGCCUUCGGAUUGUAAAGCCCUUUUGUUGGGAAAGAAAAGCAGCAGGUUAAUACCCCGCUGUUCUGACGGUACCCAAAGAAUAAGCAACGGCUAACUUCGUG
rnacentral:rRNA from 1 species